GUUGAACGCUGGCGGCGUGCCUAAUACAUGCAAGUCGAGCGAACAGACGAGGAGCUUGCUCCUCUGACGUUAGCGGCGGACGGGUGAGUAACACGUGGAUAACCUACCUAUAAGACUGGGAUAACUUCGGGAAACCGGAGCUAAUACCGGAUAAUAUAUUGAACCGCAUGGUUCAAUAGUGAAAGACGGUUUUGCUGUCACUUAUAGAUGGAUCCGCGCCGCAUUAGCUAGUUGGUAAGGUAACGGCUUACCAAGGCAACGAUGCGUAGCCGACCUGAGAGGGUGAUCGGCCACACUGGAACUGAGACACGGUCCAGACUCCUACGCGAGGCAGCAGUAGGGAAUCUUCCGCAAUGGGCGAAAGCCUGACGGAGCAACGCCGCGUGAGUGAUGAAGGUCUUCGGAUCGUAAAACUCUGUUAUUAGGGAAGAACAAAUGUGUAAGUAACUAUGCACGUCUUGACGGUACCUAAUCAGAAAGCCACGGCUAACUACGUG
rnacentral:rRNA from 1 species